UACACUACACCCCUUGGAAAAUAGUGAAGGUUAGCUUAGGUUAGCUUAGGUUAAGGUGUGGUGCAAAAAAGGUUAGGUUAGGUUUCGUUAGGUUAGAUAAGGUUAGGUUAGUUAAGGUGUGGUGCGGCAGUGUUUCAGCAUGUGGGCCUAACAUUCAACAGCCGUCCUGCGCCCCCAGAGCCAGGUCACGUAAGACUGGUGCAGCAGAUGGCCAGCUCAAGGACACAGAGUCAGGUUGGCCAAAAUUUAUAGACGACAGAAGAUUGGCGCUACUAUAAGAGCAUCGCUAUUAUAGUAUCAAAGAGUUUUAAUAUAUAUUCUAACUCCUGUUUAUGUAUGUUGAACUCCUUAUUGAGAUUUUUGACAGGUGGUCUUAUAUCAAUGUGGCUUACUGCGGGCUCAUGAGGAUUUAUAGAUCUUCGCGGCCCUAUGAACAACAACAAUGACCCUUACUGCUGUGGGCACUGUGCGGUCCGGCACAGACAGGAGCUGGUCCGGGGCUGGUGACCGCAGUGACCUUUGUGACCGUGUAAACUCUGGGGCUGGUUCUUGCGAGCAGGUUGGGGCGGUGGCUGGACGGGGCCGGCAUUAGCUGGGGCAGAGGGCUCGCUACGUCCCGCUGUCGCUCCAAGGCAGUGACCCUCACACACAAGUCCUUGACCUCGCCCCGGAUUUCCAGCAAGAGCUGAACCACGUCCUGGAGGGUCGAAGGCACGCCAGCCUGCGAUGCGGGGACUGCACGCUCAGCCCCCUACUGCAGCAGUAUAGCCACAUACUCUCCCUGUCUCCACCACCACCUGACCACCACUCUCU
rnacentral:lncRNA from 1 species